rnacentral:rRNA from 1 species
GUGCCAGCAGCCGCGGUAAUACGUAGGAUCCAAGCGUUGUCCGGAUUUACUGGGUGUAAAGGGUGCGCAGGCGGACUUGUUAGUCAGAGGUGAAAUCUCUCAGCUUAACUGAGAAACUGCCUUUGAUACUGCAGGUCUUGAAUCCGGGAGAGAGUUGUGGAAUUCCGAGUGUAGCAGUGAAAUGUGUAGAUAUUCGGAAGAACGCCAGUGGCGAAGGCAGCAACUUGGCCCGGUAUUGACGCUCAGGCACGAAAGCAUGGGGAUCAAACAGGAUUAGAUACCCUGGUAGUCC